rnacentral:rRNA from 1 species
AUACGGAGGAUCCGAGCGUUAUCCGGAUUUAUUGGGUUUAAAGGGUGCGCAGGCGGCCAUUUAAGUCAGCGGUUAAAUCGCGGGGCUCAACCCCAUUCUGCCGUUGAUACUGGGUGGCUUGAUUGCGGUCGAGGUUGGCGGAAUUCGUUGUGUAGCGGUGAAAUGCAUAGAUAUGACGAAGAACACCGAUUGCGUAGGCAGCUGACCAGACCGCAAAUGACGCUCAUGCACGAAAGUGCGGGGAUCGAACAGGAUUAGAUACCCUGGUAGUCCGCACAGUAAACGAUGAAUACUUGUUUUCGGCGAUAUAAUGUCGGAGGCAAAGCGAAAGCGAUAAGUAUUCCACCUGGGGAGUACGCCGGCAACGGUGAAACUCAAAGGAAUUGACGGGG